CUGGGCGUUAAGUUGCAGGGUAUAGACCCGAAACCCGGUGAUCUAGCCAUGGGCAGGUUGAAGGUUGGGUAACACUAACUGGAGGACCGAACCGACUAAUGUUGAAAAAUUAGCGGAUGACUUGUGGCUGGGGGUGAAAGGCCAAUCAAACCGGGAGAUAGCUGGUUCUCCCCGAAAGCUAUUUAGGUAGCGCCUCGUGAAUUCAUCUCCGGGGGUAGAGCACUGUUUCGGCAAGGGGGUCAUCCCGACUUACCAACCCGAUGCAAACUGCGAAUACCGGAGAAUGUUAUCACGGGAGACACACGGCGGGUGCUAACGUCCGUCGUGAAGAGGGAAACAACCCAGACCGCCAGCUAAGGUCCCAAAGUCAUGGUUAAGUGGGAAACGAUGUGGGAAGGCCCAGACAGCCAGGAUGUUGGCUUAGAAGCAGCCAUCAUUUAAAGAAAGCGUAAUAGCUCACUGGUCGAGUCGGCCUGCGCGGAAGAUGUAACGGGGCUAAACCAUGCACCGAAGCUGCGGCAGCGACGCUGAUGCGUUGUUGGGUAGGGGAGCGUUCUGUAAGCCUGUGAAGGUGUGCUGUGAGGCAUGCUGGAGGUAUCAGAAGUGCGAAUGCUGACAUAAGUAACGAUAAAGCGGGUGAAAAGCCCGCUCGCCGGAAGACCAAGGGUUCCUGUCCAACGUUAAUCGGGGCAGGGUGAGUCGACCCCUAAGGCGAGGCCGAAAGGCGUAGUCGAUGGGAAACAGGUUAAUAUUCCUGUACUUGGUGUUACUGCGAAGGGGG
rnacentral:rRNA from 1 species